AGAGCGAACGCUGGCGGCAGGCCUAACACAUGCAAGUCGAACGGACCCUUCGGGGUUAGUGGCGGACGGGUGAGUAACACGUGGGAACGUGCCUUUUGGUUCGGAAUAGCUCCUGGAAACGGGUGGUAAUGCCGAAUGUGCCCUUCGGGGGAAAGAUUUAUCGCCAUUAGAGCGGCCCGCGUCUGAUUAGCUAGUUGGUAAGGUAAUGGCUUACCAAGGCGACGAUCAGUAGCUGGUCUGAGAGGAUGACCAGCCACAUUGGGACUGAGACACGGCCCAAACUCCUACGGGAGGCAGCAGUGGGGAAUCUUGCGCAAUGGGCGAAAGCCUGACGCAGCCAUGCCGCGUGAAUGAUGAAGGUCUUAGGAUGUAAAUUCUUCACCGGGACGAUAAUGACGGUACCGGAGAAGAAGCCCGCUAACUCGCGCCAGCAGCCGC
rnacentral:rRNA from 1 species